AAUAUUGUGCCUGAUAAAAGGAAUAAACUGUAAAUUUAUUAAUGAAGAAUCAAUUCUUUCAAUAUUA
rnacentral:tRNA from 1 species